rnacentral:lncRNA from 1 species
GAUACGCUCGUCGGUGGCCUUACCCCGACACCAACAUGGUGGACGAAGGAGAUCCUUUCUCGCUCUCUCACUCUCUCCCUCUCUUUGUCUCUCAGUCUCCCACUCUCCCUCUCCGUCGAGGACUCGAGAUCCCUCCGUCGAGAUCUGCAUCCCGACGGUGCCGAGCCCUCCCUCCUCUCCUGCUCCUAAUUCCUCUCCCACCGGAUCCACUCUACGGCUCUCGAUGCCCUCUCUCCCUC